CCGCAGCGUUCGCUGAACUCAACCCGCGGGUAGGACGGAGCUCAGACCAGCUGAACCUCUUGUUGGUUUUAUACUGAGUCGACGUCAUCCUGGAUUUAGUUCCUGAUGGGGUCUUUGGGACUUCCCUAUCUUCUUCCCCAAUAAUUGGGUCGCAUUUUUCCUUACGACCUGCUGGCUGCCGGUAGGCCUGCCCUUCCGCCUGGCAGGCCCAGAGUGGAUUCCCUGGGCCGCAGUGGCCUGGACGAUGGCCGGGUCUGAUAGCGGCAGGCGGCCGCGAUGAUUUGCGGGAUUCUCGGCAUGGCACGGCCAGCCUGCCCGAGCCACGGGAGGCGCAGCCAGCCCACCACUCACGGCAAGCAGGCGGCCGAGCGCCCUUCGAGAAGAGACUUAAGUCACCAUGCUCCAGGGCAGAUACUCCCCCACCAAUCUUUCCCAGGUUUAAAGCUACAGGGCAGUUGAUGGACGACAACUAGAGGCUGCAACUUAUCAGUGACUGCCUGCGUUUGUGUUGGAGGCUGGGUGUGCGCUGCGGUGCGCGUGUGAGUGGAUCUUUUAAGACCUUUGUCUGAGCCGGGCAGAGGCACAAGUGCCACCUGACGCUUGGGGCAGAUUCCUCGUCCUGUUCUUGCAAAGAUGCCAAAUCAGGAGAGUGUCAAGAUUUCAACCGCAGACCUAAAAAAAGUGUCUCCAUGUUUUUAAAAGUAUCAGACAACCACCUCCACACACCCCUCCGUCUCCCCUUCCACCUGGAACAUUGUUCUUUUUAAUAACCAGGUUUAGCAAACUGCUAUACUGCGCCUGUGCUUUCCUGCAGCCCUCCGCUGUACCAGCUGAGCCCUGUACAGAAUCUGAGCGUCAGAGUUGCAGACCCAACCUUGCCACCUUGCAAAUCAUCCCUUCUCUGGAGGCCUCAGGAUUUUAGUUGAUCAAACCAACACCAACAUUCAUUGGGUCCCUUUGCAACCCUAACAUUUAAUGAGACUUGGUAAUUGUCAUCCGUUCGCCAAGGAGGUUGGGGAUGAACUUGGGGGCAUUUUCUUGUUUAUUUUUCAUUGAGACAAAGGAGUGUGCUGUCCCCACCUCCGCCCCCAGACAAGGACAGGGUUCCUACAUCAGCUGGGUCUAAAAUAAGGAAAAGCGAGUGCUGCCGCAGAGGGGACUUUCCGGGAAGGGGGUCACAGGAACCCCAAGGCCACACAGCUCCAGACACUCUGCCGGAGCUCUAGGGGAGCUCACCCCUGCGCGGCGGGACCUCCCCCAUCGGGUUGCCCCUUCAAUCUGCAGCCGCGCGGAGGCAGGCCCCGGGAAAGGCAGUCGGCGCUCGGUGCUCGCACUGCGCCUCGGCGGGCGGAAACUCACAAGUGUCCUCAACGUGCUAAACAAACCAUCAGGGCCCCGCAUCGCCUGGCGCAAUUGGAAUAACAAAUGCGACGCACGCAAAUUGUCCACCUCGUGUUGCUAAGCGAUUGUUUGUCGGCCCCGCACGCACAGCUCAGCAUGGGAGGACCGCGAGCGUCCAGAGGCAGCCGGCGAGCGCUUAGGUCGGAAAUGCAGUAAACAUGCCGCUGAUUUUCCCUAUUAUCACCCAAACACGAUUUCACACAAAGCAAUCACCACGCAGAAGUCUAUGAAAAUGUGUUUGUUGAGGAGUCACUCGCCCCAGUAAUAGUCCUCAUUUUUAAGAUAUUAAAGAAUAGCUCAGCGGAUUCCACAUGCAUAAGGUCUAUUUGCCGUUCGGCAUCUGUCACGGCGCUUUUGCACUGCGGUCAUCACUAAAUUGAUUCAUAGAGUGUAGAUUAAAUUGCUUCUCUGAUUUAAAACAGUGUCCAACUUUGGAGUAUGCGUGUGAGUAUCUUCUCCCGCCCCAAGGUAUUUUUGUCAGGGAGAAAACUGUCGCCCCACUAUCCUUACACCCCAUUCCGCAUAACUGUAAAAAAAUAAUGCAUCUUCGACCCCAACUUCUUACGGUUCGUUUCAGGAACUUUCUUAAUUCUCUCCGUCUCCUGCCCGGCCACAGAGCAGAGUUCACAAUCGGAUGCGUUUAAGUCGGAUUUUUCGUGUCAUGUGCAAAAAGCCGGUGUGUCCUUUUCAAGGUACGGAGCCCUCAUCGGAGGGCGCAUUAGCGGGGUCAGAGGAAUUAGGAGCAAUGCGCAGAGCCCCCUGCAGCCCGCGUGCUGCGCCGAGACCUCAGCCGUCCUCACUGAGCGGAAUGGUUGUGUUGUUUGUAUUGGGACUUUUAAAAAAUCCAGUCUCAAAGCUAAGUGCUCAAACCCCGUUCCAUGGCUCUGCUGCUUUCUGGAGGACAUCUCCGGUAGCCCCAGGGGAUUGUCCGUGUGAGGUUGGGUGGGUGGAGUAGAGCCAGAGGCGCAAAUGCCUCCUGGCUAAGGGGCAGCGCGCAUUAGAGCUGGGUCUCCUGCUUUCGGAGCGGAGGGCGUAAGGGAGCUUUCUAGCUGAUUUUUUGCUAGAAGUUUUCCAACGCUCCAAAUAAAAGCACCCGAUCCCCUAAGGACGAAAUAAUCAAGGUGUUAGGGAAGCUCAACAGAAGAGAAGAGACGAGAAGAGAAGAGAAGAGAAGAAGGGGCUAUCGAAAAAUGACGUGUUCCCAAGGCCUUAGAAAAAUAAAUAAAUAAAUAAAUAAAUAAAUAAAUAGCUUGGACUUUCCGGGGUUGCAGAAAUCCGAUUUCAGCCGGGCUAUUUACCAAAAUUUGUUUCAAAAUGACUGCACCUUUGCUUUUGCAAGUCACAGAAUGCAAAUGACGAUAAUUUGUUCUCAGAAGAAGUUUCUCUUGAAAUGAUUAGCAAAGUCAGUCAUUUGAAAAUUAGAACGAAGCCCUUCGCUAACUGAUAUCUGCUUCUAAAGUUUUCAUUCAUGUAAACCUCAUUAAUGAAGAUCUUUUAUUUAAACGUCAAGGGGAUUUGAAAUUUAGAGUAAAUUAUGAAGCUUGUAUGUCUAGCCAAGUCAUGGGUCAAAUGCAUUUGUGAAAAACUGCUAAAGAGCAUAUGGUUUUGAAUUUUUCUACAAUGACUAGUGUUUAAAUAAAUUGCUUGUACUGCUUAACUUCAUGUGUAAUUUUGACAGAAAUUGGCCUAUAGCCUUUUGAUAUGUAAACAUUUCAGCCUUUUAUGCGGUAUAAAAAAGACACUUGCUUUUUAGGAUCAGCCCAGGCAGUCACCCUGUAAUUCAGAAAGCUGGUACCUACCAUUACAAUCUUGCUAGAUUUCAACUUUCAAGUGGCAGCCUCAGGGGGAGAAAAAAAGAAAAGAAAGAAAGGGGAUAUUUCAAAAGCAAUGUCCAUUUGGGAUUAAAAGCUACAAAUGAGGUGAGAACGUGCCACUUACUAUCUGAAAGAAAUGGAUAAACCAUAGUUAUUAAAGAACAUUUCUGUCAGUUUUCUUUAAGCCAGCCCGUCUGAGGGGACACUUAAGCAGGGCUGGGAACUGACUAGCAUGCCAUUAAAUGCUUGUCUUAGGGCCGAGCUAAUCAGUCCAACACACAAAUAGGUGUUAAAAAUCUAGGUAUCAUUUCAGGAUGUUACCAGGGAAAUCGCUCUGUGUCACAGAACCCAUUAAGAUGCAAAACUCAUCCAGGGCACAGAAUGGCUGGACACAAAUGGCUCAUAUGAGCCAUGCACGGGGGUUUUUCUCCGUGGGAACUGCAAAGUCCGUGCAGGGCACAGUUCAGAGCCCUCCCUGGGCUGCCAGGGUUUUUGAAACACAUACAUACCUGCAUAAACCCAUUUGUUGCUAAUAUAUCCGUCUCCCGUAAAUAAGCCAAGGAAUGUGGAUUGGACUGCGGGUCACCAAUGGGGAUUCAAAGCGUCCCAUAAGGUUGCCCUCCCAAGUGCGAGACCGGGCCACACGUUGAUUUCCUGCGUACUCUGGUGGGGCGAGCGCUGCUCCUUCCCAUCUGCUCUCACAGUCUUGCCGUAUUUAUCCUAUGUGUCAGUUUUGUCAUAUACAGACUUUCUGAGAGACGCCACCCCUUUUGUGAAGUUUUGAAGGAACUGGGGAGAAAGAAUGCUCACUUGACAAGGGAGACCAGUUCCUUUGUAAACAGUUGAGCCGCCUGAGCAAAUUGAGAUCCUCUUAAUUAAAAAGAUCAUUCUGGGGCGAAAUCUAAUUAAGAAAAAAAGACACGCUGAGAAAGACAGAAGGAGGUGUUUUGUUUACAUUUCUUAUGCAUUCCAGCUUAUCAUAUUGGUCAGCAAUCUGGGAAGGAAAUGACACAUUUGAUGAUGUAAGAAAAGCAGAAGGCUUUUUUUUUUCUAAGCUUCUACACUUCAGUCUAGCCUUUCAGUACAUUUUGAAAUGAAUAAGGGUACACUUUUCC
rnacentral:lncRNA from 10 species